rnacentral:rRNA from 1 species
AUGGAGUUCUUUGUUGUAGGGUUAAAUAUGUUGUAUGGAAGCAUUCCGAAUGAUAUCGGAAGCAAGUUCCUCAAGUUUGAAGCUCUUAACUUGGACAGUAAUCACUUCACACGAACCAUCCCUUCUUCAAUAUCCAACAUAUCUUUCCUCAAUUAUCUUGACCUCGGCAACAAUAGAUUUAGUGGGUACAUUCCUCCCACAUUGGGGAAGCUGGGAGCCCUCCAAAUUGUGGACUUGGCUUACAGUAAUCUUGAAACAAAUGAAAACAAGGGGUGGGAAUUCAUCACUCUUUUGGCAAACUGCACCCAAUUGCGGCGAUUACAACUAGGGGGCGACUCUUUUGGAGGAAAAUUACCUGCAUCAGUGGUCAACCUCUCGAGAACUCCCCAGUACUUAUUCAUAGCAGACAAUAGAGUCUAUGGGAGUAUUCCUGUCGCUUGUUAG